GACGAACGCUGGUGGCGUGCCUAAUACAUGCAAGUUGAGCGCUGAAGGUUGGUGCUUGUACCAACUGGAUGAGCAGCGAACGGGUGAGUAACGCGUGGGGAAUCUGCCUUUGAGCGGGGGACAACAUUUGGAAACGAAUGCUAAUACCGCAUAAAAACUUUAAACACAAGUUUUAAGUUUGAAAGAUGCAAUUGCAUCACUCAAAGAUGAUCCCGCGUUGUAUUAGCUAGUGGGUGAGGUAAAGGCUCACCAAGGCGAUGAUACAUAGCCGACCUGAGAGGGUGAUCGGCCACAUUGGGACUGAGACACGGCCCAAACUCCUACGGGAGGCAGCAGUAGGGAAUCUUCGGCAAUGGACGAAAGUCUGACCGAGCAACGCCGCGUGAGUGAAGAAGGUUUUCGGAUCGUAAAACUCUGUUGGUAGAGAAGAACGUUGGUGAGAGUGGAAAGCUCAUCAAGUGACGGUAACUACCCAGAAAGGGACGGCUAACUACGUG
rnacentral:rRNA from 1 species